UGGGGAAUAUUGAACAAUGGGCGAAAGCCUGAUCCAGCCAUGCCGCGUGUGUGAAGAAGGUCUUCGGAUUGUAAAGCACUUUAAGUUGGGAGGAAGGGCAUUAACCUAAUACGUUAGUGUUUUGACGUUACCGACAGAAUAAGCACCGGCUAACUCUGUGCCAGCAGCCGCGGUAAUACAGAGGGUGCAAGCGUUAAUCGGAAUUACUGGGCGUAAAGCGCGCGUAGGUGGUUUGUUAAGUUGGAUGUGAAAUCCCCGGGCUCAACCUGGGAACUGCAUUCAAAACUGACUGACUAGAGUAUGGUAGAGGGUGGUGGAAUUUCCUGUGUAGCGGUGAAAUGCGUAGAUAUAGGAAGGAACACCAGUGGCGAAGGCGACCACCUGGACUAAUACUGACACUGAGGUGCGAAAGCGUGGGGAGCAAACA
rnacentral:rRNA from 1 species